GAUGAACGCUGGCGGCGUGCCUAAUACAUGCAAGUCGAGCGAACAGAUAAGGAGCUUGCUCCUUUGACGUUAGCGGCGGACGGGUGAGUAACACGUGGAUAACCUACCUAUAAGACUGGGAUAACUUCGGGAAACCGGAGCUAAUACCGGAUAACAUAUUGAACCGCAUGGUUCAAUAGUGAAAGGCGGCUUUGCUGUCACUUAUAGAUGGAUCCGCGCCGUAUUAGCUAGUUGGUAAGGUAACGGCUUACCAAGGCAACGAUACGUAGCCGACCUGAGAGGGUGAUCGGCCACACUGGAACUGAGACACGGUCCAGACUCCUAUGGGAGGCAGCAGUAGGGAAUCUUCCGCAAUGGGCGAAAGCCUGACGGAGCAACGCCGCGUGAGUGAUGAAGGUCUUCGGAUCGUAAAACUCUGUUAUCAGGGAAGAACAAAUGUGUAAGUAACUGUGCACAUCUUGACGGUACCUGAUCAGAAAGCCACGGCUAACUACGUG
rnacentral:rRNA from 1 species